GACGAGGGCGCGAGCGUUGUCCGGAUUUAUUGGGCGUAAAGAGCUCGUAGGCGGCUUGUCGCGUCGACUGUGAAAAUCCCGCGGCUCAACUGCGGGUCUGCAGUCGAUACGGGCAGGCUAGAGUUCGGUAGGGGAGACUGGAAUUCCUGGUGUAGCGGUGAAAUGCGCAGAUAUCAGGAGGAACACCGAUGGCGAAGGCAGGUCUCUGGGCCGAUACUGACGCUGAGGAGCGAAAGUGUGGGGAGCGAACAGG
rnacentral:rRNA from 1 species